UCUUACAGAUGAACAGAGAAAGUGAUUUCUUGAGAUAGAAUCUACUCUUGGUGAAGAUGCUGUGAA
rnacentral:pre_miRNA from 2 species